rnacentral:rRNA from 1 species
GAAACGACUGCUAAGACUGGAUAGGAGACAAGAAGGCAUCUUCUUGUUUUUAAAAGACCUAGCAAUAGGUAUGCUUAGGGAGGAGCUUGCGUCACAUUAGUUAGUUGGUGGGGUAAAGGCCUACCAAGACUAUGAUGUGUAGCCGGGCUGAGAGGUUGAACGGCCACAUUGGGACUGAGACACGGCCCAAACUCCUACGGGAGGCAGCAGUAGGGAAUUUUCGGCAAUGGAGGAAACUCUGACCGAGCAACGCCGCGUGAACGAUGAAGUAUUUCGGUACGUAAAGUUCUUUUAUUAGGGAAGAAUAAAUGAUGGAAAAAUCAUUCUGACGGUACCUAAUGAAUAAGCCCCGGCUAACUAUGUGCCAGCAGCCGCGGUAAUACAUAGGGGGCAAGCGUUAUCCGGAAUUAUUGGGCGUAAAGGGUGCGUAGGCGGUUAAAUAAGUUUAUGGUCUAAGUGCAAUGCUCAACAUUGUGAUGCUAUAAAAACUGUUUAGCUAGAGUAAGAUAGAGGCAAGUGGAAUUCCAUGUGUAGUGGUAAAAUGCGUAAAUAUAUGGAGGAACACCAGUAGCGAAGGCGGCUUGCUGGGUCUUUACUGACGCUGAGGCACGAAAGCGUGGGGAGCAAACAGGAUUAGAUACCCUGGUAGUCCACGCCGUAAACGAUGAGUACUAAACGUUGGGUAAAACCAGUGUUGAAGUUAACACAUUAAGUACUCCGCCUGAGUAGUACGUACGCAAGUAUGAAACUUAAAGGAAUUGACGGGACUCCGCACAAGCGGUGGAUCAUGUUGUUUAAUUCGAAGGUACCCGAAAAACCUCACCAGGUCUUGACAUGCUUCUGCAAAGCUGUAGAAACACAGUGGAGGUUAUCAGUUGCACAGGUGGUGCAUGGUUGUCGUCAGCUCGUGUCGUGAGAUGUUGGGUUAAGUCCCGCAACGAGCGCAACCCUUAUUGUUAGUUACCAGCACGUAAUGGUGGGGACUUUAGCAAGACUGCCAGUGAUAAAUUGGAGGAAGGUGGGGACGACGUCAAAUCAUCAUGCCCCUUAUGACCUGGGCUACAAACGUGAUACAAUGGCUGUUACAAAGGGUAGCUGAAGCGCAAGUUUUUGGCGAAUCUCAAAAAAACAGUCUCAGUUCGGAUUGAAGUCUGCAACUCGACUUCAUGAAGUUGGAAUCGCUAGUAAUCGCGAAUCAGCAUGUCGCGGUGAAUACGUUCUCGGGGUUUGUACACACCGCCCGUC